ACGAUCUGCUGCAAUGAAAACCGAGCAUCAAUAUGGGGAACAAAGGGGAUUGAAGAGACUGCCCUGCAGGUGUAGCUGAAAGAUGCACUCAUGGUCUGUAUGCAGGGCAUGAAGGAUUUGGAAUAAAAAUGAACCUUUCUGCUAUGUUUGCAAGAGAAAUAAUUGAACAUGUUGUACUUUUUUUUUAUCUUUACAGCAAGGUUUGAGAAAACACAUUUUUGCAUGCCGGGUUGCGACUUUAAAAGCUACCAUAGAAGGGGCUCAAGGGAAUCACCUGCGCUCCUCUUGAGAUGUUGCCGCUCCUGUCUAUGACCCUCCAACAAAAACCGGCAGCAUGUGAACUACAGAUGAAACCCUUUUGGUGGAUCAGAAAGUUCAAUCGAACCCCAAUGAAGACCAAACAAAACAAGAACUCCAUGGCGAAGCGACUGGGCACGGUUGGAUUCCACUGUGAAGCUCAGCAUGGUGGCGUUCCCCCCCGUGAUGCA